rnacentral:rRNA from 1 species
CAAUAGCGUAUAUUUAAGUUGUUGCAGUUAAAAAGCUCGUAGUUGGAUUUCGGAUGGGACUUGUCGGUCCGUCGUUUCGAUGUGCACUGGCCAGUCCUAUCUUGUUGUCGGGGACUAGCUCCUGGGCUUCACUGUCCGGGACUAGGAGCUGACGAGGUUACUUUGAGUAAAUUAGAGUGUUCAAAGCAAGCCUACGCUCUGAAUACAUUAGCAUGGAAUAACACGAUAGGACUCUGGCUUAUCUUGUUGGUCUGUGAGACCAGAGUAAUGAUUAAGAGGGACAGUCGGGGGCAUUCGUAUUUCAUUGUCAGAGGUGAAAUUCUUGGAUUUAUGAAAGACGAACUUCUGCGAAAGCAUUUGUCAAGGAUGUUUUCAUUAA